rfam:Colinus virginianus strain Texas jcf7180006227053, whole genome shotgun sequence.
CCUGGUGAUGAUGACACACUUGCCCUCACUGAGAAUGCUGUUCGAUAAUGAGAGCUUCACAGUGUGCACAGCUGAGCCAGG